UUUGAUCCUGGCUCAGGAUGAACGCUAGCGGCAGGCUUAACACAUGCAAGUCGAGGGGCAGCAUAAUGGAUAGCAAUAUCUAUGGUGGCGACCGGCGCACGGGUGCGUAACGCGUAUGCAACCUACCUUUAACAGGGGGAUAACACUGAGAAAUUGGUACUAAUACCCCAUAAUAUCAUAGAAGGCAUCUUUUAUGGUUGAAAAUUCCGAUGGUUAGAGAUGGGCAUGCGUUGUAUUAGCUAGUUGGUGGGGUAACGGCUCACCAAGGCGACGAUACAUAGGGGGACUGAGAGGUUAACCCCCCACACUGGUACUGAGACACGGUCCAAACUCCUACGGGAGGCAGCAGUGAGGAAUAUUGGUCAAUGGACGCAAGUCUGAACCAGCCAUGCCGCGUGCAGGAUGACGGCUCUAUGAGUUGUAAACUGCUUUUGUACGAGGGUAAACGCAGAUACGUGUAUCUGUCUGAAAGUAUCGUACGAAUAAGGAUCGGCUAACUCCGUGCCAGCAGCCGCGGUAAUACGGAGGAUCCAAGCGUUAUCCGGAUUUAUUGGGUUUAAAGGGUGCGUAGGCGGUUUGAUAAGUUAGAGGUGAAAUUUCGGGGCUCAACCCUGAACGUGCCUCUAAUACUGUUGAGCUAGAGAGUAGUUGCGGUAGGCGGAAUGUAUGGUGUAGCGGUGAAAUGCUUAGAGAUCAUACAGAACACCGAUUGCGAAGGCAGCUUACCAAACUAUAUCUGACGUUGAGGCACGAAAGCGUGGGGAGCAAACAGGAUUAGAUACCCUGGUAGUCCACGCAGUAAACGAUGAUAACUCGUUGUCGGCGAUACACAGUCGGUGACUAAGCGAAAGCGAUAAGUUAUCCACCUGGGGAGUACGUUCGCAAGAAUGAAACUCAAAGGAAUUGACGGGGGCCCGCACAAGCGGAGGAACAUGUGGUUUAAUUCGAUGAUACGCGAGGAACCUUACCCGGGCUUAAAUUGCAACUGAAGGAACCGGAAACGGUUCUUUCUUCGGACAGUUGUGAAGGUGCUGCAUGGUUGUCGUCAGCUCGUGCCGUGAGGUGUCGGGUUAAGUCCCAUAACGAGCGCAACCCCUACGUCCAGUUGCCAGCGGGUAGAGCCGGGGACUCUGGAUGGACAGCCGGCGUAAGCCGCGAGGAGGGGGGGGAUGACGUCAAAUCAGCACGGCCCUUACGUCCAGGGCUACACACGUGUUACAAUGGCCGGUACAGAGGGCAGCCACCCCGCGAGGGGGCGCUAAUCUCGAAAGCCGGUCCCAGUUCGGAUCGGAGUCUGCAACCCGACUCCGUGAAGUUGGAUUCGCUAGUAAUCGCAGAUCAGCCAUGCUGCGGUGAAUACGUUCCCGGGCCUUGUACACACCGCCCGUCACACCACCCGAGUUG
rnacentral:rRNA from 1 species